GGAUGGAUUAUGGAUGGAAAAACAAUUGAGCUCAAUGAUAGUUUUGCAAUAUUUUGAAAUUAGAUUUUAAAAAUAGGUUUUGAAGUUUUUGAAUUCGAGUGAUUUUUGAGUUUAAAUUUUUAGGAUGUUACAAACCCACCCUACUUAAAAUAAAUAUCAUCCUCGAGAUUUGGUUGGUUCCUAAAUAGAUGGGGAAACUCUUUUCUUAGAGCAUCUUCUCGUUCCCAAGUAGCUUCUGCUUCACUGUGUUGGCUCCAUUGCACACGAC
rnacentral:lncRNA from 1 species